rnacentral:tRNA from 2 species
CAGUAACUAGUUUAUUUUUAAAAUAUGAUAUUUGGGUUGUCAAGAGUCUUUACUGA